GUUAUGUUCAAGCUUGUAUUAUACAUCAGUGUAACAGCCUGCCCCGUUGUUAGAUUCAGUCUGCGUAAGUGCGAUCUCACAGUAAGCAGUUCUUUUCAAAAGCUCUCUAAACGCUGAGUAUUCUCAACAACUUCGAAAUGAAAUUAGGUCUAACCAUCUUGUUACUACUCGUCUUCGCUAGCUUUGCAUCAAGCGGUCACCUAAGCGGACCCACAAAAUUACUACAAACAUGUACAAGUGACAAAGAUUGUGGAUCACACGAAAUAGAAUGCAA